rnacentral:rRNA from 1 species
AUUGAACGUUGGCGGCAGGCCUAACACAUGCAAGUCGAACGAGUGGCGGACGGGUGAGUCAUGUCUGGGAAACUGCCCGAUGGAGGGGGAUAACUACUGGAAACGGUAGCUAAUACCGCAUACCAUCGGAUGUGCCCAGAUGGGAUUAGCUAGUAGGUGGGGUAACGGCUCACCUAGGCGACGAUCCGUAGCUGGUCUGAGAGGAUGACCAGCCAAACGGGAAAUGAGACACGGUCCAGACUCCAACGGGAGGAAGCAGUGGGGAAGAUUGCACAAUGGGCGCAAGCCUGAUGCAGCCAUGCCGCGUGUAUGAAGAAGGCCUUAGGGUUGUAAAGUACUUUCAGCGAGGAGGCGUUACUCGCAGAAGAAGCACCGGCUAACUCCGUGCCAGCAGCCGCGAUAAUUC